UUGCUCCUGCUAGCACAUGUACUAGAAUUGGAAUGACCCAGAGAAGGUCAGCGUAGGCUCUGGGCAAGGACAACAAACAAGUUCAGAAACAUUCCAGUUUUUA